rnacentral:siRNA from 1 species
GUUUGAGUCCUAAAUAAUAUCUGA